rnacentral:lncRNA from 1 species
CUUUCCUACUCCAAAGUUAUUUAAACAUUUACACAUAUUUUAGUAUACAUUUAAUUCUAAACCAUUCUAUAUUUUAUAGAUGUUUGUUUUGAGAUAUGGAUCCAACUUUACACUUUUUUUUUAAUCUUUAUCUUCUGUUUACAAGUCCUACACUUGUAUCAUUAUAAACUAGGCAUCUGACAUUAUGUGUGUGUGUUUUAAAAAUAAUUUUAUUUUCAAUUCCUAGAAAAUGUGUACCACAUAAAAUUUGUCAGGCAGAACUUUAAUUUAAUUGUCCCCUUUUCAGAGUUUUCUAUUCCUGUUUAUUUUUCCAUGUGACUUUCAGAAUCAUUUAGAUUAUUUUCUCAAGUAUUCUGUUAGGAUUUUGGUUGGAAACAUAUUAAAUGUUUUUUACUUAGGGGAUCUUUCCAUUGAGAGCUUAGUAGAAUUGUUUUUUUACAUGUUCUCCAUUAAGAGUUCGAACUGUUUUUUUUUUUUUUUUGAGACAAGAGUUUUACUCUGCCGCCCAGGCUGGAAUGUGGUGGUGUAAUCUCAGCUCAUUGCAGCCUCUGCCUCCCAGGUUCAAGAUUCUCCUUUCUCAGCCUCCCAAGUGGCUGGGAUACAGGCCCCUGCCACCACACAUGACUAAUUUUUGUAUUUUUAGUAGAGACGGGGCUUUAUCAUGUUGGCCAGGCUGGUAAGGGUUCCAAAAUUUUCUUCAUGUUCUUUUUUUAAGUUUCCAAAAAUAUUUUUGUUGCUUUUAGAUAUGGACUCCUCGUAUUAUAAUAUUUUUAACUAGUCACCACUUAUAUUGUAAAGCUGAUUCUUAAUUGUUGUUGUUAAACUGGCCACAUAACUUUUAUUAUCAUUUUUAAUAGUUUUCAGUGAAUAAGUAUAAUGGCAUUCUUGUUUCUGAUUUUACUGAUGUCUGAUUUUUAGUGUUUCAGUCGUGUAAUUUAUAGGUUAAAAAUAGAAUAUUAUGUUUAAGAAGAAUCUUUUUUCAUGAAGCCUGCUUAUUAGGAUCAGCUGUUAAAGGUUUUUUUCAAAUGACAUUAUAUGCAAUUGCUCUUUUGACCUUUUGAUGACAGAAUAGAAUGUAAUAACCAUUAAUUUAAAAUGCUGUUAUAUUCUAAUUCCUAGCCAUGUAUUUAGGACUUUGUAUCUAUGUUUUGUAUCUGUGUUAAUUUUGAUUAACAGGUUAUGACAGAUUGGCAGAAUAAGCUGGAAAACUAAUGUUUUAUUUAGAAUAUAGAUCCUGCUGGGUGCCGUGGCUCACGUCUCUAAACCCAACACUUGGGAGACUGAGGCGGGUGGAUCGUUUGAGCUCAGGAGUUCAAGACCAGCCUGGGCAACAUAGUGAAACCUCGUUACCACCAAAAAUACAAAAAACUUAGCUGGGCAUGGUGGCGCAUGCCUAUAAUCCCAGCUACUCGGGAGACUCAAGCAAGAGAAUUACUUGAACCUGGGAGGCAGAGGUUGCAGUGAGCUGAGAUCAUGCCACUGCACUCCAGCCUGGGUGACAGAGCAAGACUGUCUCAAAAAUAAUAAUAGUAAAAAAAGCGAUGUUUUAGUUAUCUUAACUAUUGUAAUUAUUUCUAAAAUGUUAUCCAGCAAACAUACUUGGGGUAGAAUGUUAGACAUUUAUUUUAAGAUGAGGAAUAGACAAGGAUGUCCAUUAUUAGUUACUGUUCAGGUUGUCAGCAUUUUUGAGGGAUGGAGGAAGGUAGAGAAGGGUUUGAAAAGGCAUAAUUUUAUUUAUUUAUUUAUUUAUUUAUUUAUUUAUUUAUUUGUUUGUUUGUUUGUUUGUUUGAGACAGGGUUUUGCUCUGUCACCCAGGCUGGAGUGCAGUGGUGUGAUCAUAGCUCACUGCAGCCUUGAAAUCUUGGGCUCAAGUCAUUCUACCGCCUCAGCCUCCCAAACAGCCGGGACUUACAGGCACAUGUCACUAUGCCCGGCUAAUUUUUAAUUUUAUUCUUAGAGACAGAGUCUUGCUAUAUUGCCCAGGCUGGUCUCAAACUCCUGGCUUCAAGCGAUCCUCCCAAAGUGGGAGGCCACAGUGGGAAGAUUACAGGUGUGAGCAACUGUACCCAAACAGAAAAAAUUAUUAAUGGCAGACUUAAGUGAUUGUCUAUGUAAAGCACACAAGAUAAACUAUUAUUAGCAUUGAUAGAUUUGUGUGAAUUGCUAGUAACUUUUACAGUAGUCUCCCCUUAUCUGUGGGUAUGUGAUCCAAGACUCACCACUUAGUGCCUGAAACUGCAGAUAGUACCGAACCCUGCAUAAUACUGUUUUUACAAUCUGAUAACCGAGGCAGCUACAAGUGACUAAUGGGCAGGUAGCAUCUACAGCAGGUAGAGCCAGGAUGGUGUGAGAUUUUAUUAUGCUACUCAGAACUGCUCACAAAUUAAAACUCAUUAAUUGUUUCUGGAAUUUUCCAUUUAAUAUUUUCAGACUGCAGUUGACCUCUGAUAACUGGGGUAAGCAAAACUAUGGAUAAAGUGGAACUACUGUGUGUAGAAGAAGAGGCCAUGAAUAGCUAAGGUAAUUUCAAAGAACAAGAUUUUGGAUUUGUUCUACCAGAUAUAAAGAUUCCUGGGACAAAUGAUUAUCUACAAGAAGAAAUAGGAAGAGGCAAAUUUUGAAAAAAAAAUAACACAUUUUCAUAGAUCUGAAUGGGAAAACUUUAAAAUACUGAGAAAGAACAAAUACACUUUGACUAGCAACUCCACUUCUGGACAUAUAUAUAUUUAGCUUAUUUCUGUCUGUAUAAUUUUAUAUAUAAUUAUAAAGUGAAAAAAGGUAAAUAUCUUAAAUAUUCAUUUGUAGGAGAACAGUUAAAUAAUAUGGAUAAAAGUAUAGAAUGACUCCAUUGUAUUAAAUAAGUAUUUCUAUAUAGUGCAUAGAGUAUUUGAAAACUGAAACUGAUUGUGGGUUAUAAUAGAGCAGAUUGUUUUAAAAAGAGACUUGUGAGCCAAGACUAAAUCCUGGUUUUACUAUUUAUUAAUCUGUAUAGCUAUAGCCAAGCUAUUAAAACUCCCUUAUUUCUCAGUUUUUUCGUUCAUGAAG